UACGGAGGUGGCAAGCGUUGUUCGGAAUCACUGGGCGUAAAGCGCGUGUAGGCGGUCUGCUAAGUCUGAUGUGAAAGCCCGGGGCUCACCCCCGGAAGUGCAUUGGAAACUGGCAGACUGGAGUCCCGGAGAGGAGGGUGGAAUUCCUGGUGUAUCGGUGAAAUGCGUAGAUAUCAGGAGGAACACAGGUGGCGAAGGCGGCGCUCUGGACGGUGACUGACGCUGAGACGCGAAAGCGUGGGGAGCAAACAGG
rnacentral:rRNA from 1 species